CUUUACAGUGAAUUUCAAAAUCCCGUAACUUCUCCGUUCGAGCUCCAAUCGCCGCACCGUUUGCGGCCACACGUUCACCGCAUCGAGCUCUAUAUUUCUACCAGAACAAUUUUACUGGAUCCAAUUAGCUUGAGAAAAACAUUCACUCUUGCUUAUGUGAAGCUUGGGUAAGGUUGUGAAGAAAUAAUUAGAGCUUGAAAUUGUGAAUACUGGAACUUGGAGGAAGCGGAUUAGUUGAGGUUUUGAGGGCUGUGUUCUUUUAGGAAAAUUGUUUUGGAAUAAUUCUUGGGAAUCGGCUAAGAUGCAGAUCGGGAGGCAUCUCGUUAGGCGUCUAGACUCUUAAAGCGGAGAGGUUACUGG